AUCGCUUCUCGGCCUUUUGGCUAAGAUCAAGUGUAGUAUCUGUUCUUAUCAGUUUAAAAUGACAGCACAUAUAUAAAAUAAAAUUUAAAUAAAUAUGAAAUUCUAU
ensembl:snRNA U2 U2 spliceosomal RNA